rnacentral:rRNA from 1 species
GACGAACCGUACGAACGUUAUUCGGAAUCACUGGGCUUAAAGGGUGCGUAGGCGGCGCGGGAAGUUGGGUGUGAAAUCCCUCGGCUCAACCGGGGAACUGCGUCCAAAACUGCCGAGCUCGAGGGAGACAGAGGUGAGCGGAACUUAGGGUGGAGCGGUGAAAUGCGUUGAUAUCCUAAGGAACACCGGUGGCGAAAGCGGCUCACUGGGUCUCUUCUGACGCUGAGGCACGAAAGCUAGGGUAGCGAACGGG